rnacentral:lncRNA from 1 species
UUUAAGUUCUUCGAUAUUUAAUAAUUUACUAUAUAUACCACAUAAUAAUGAUAAUAGAAUCAAAAGAUAUUUCGGAUUAAAUUGUAUAAGGUGAAAGAUCUAUUGUUCGACAACUUAUUGGAAUAUCUAGAAGGAGUUGCAGUAUGAAAAUUUGGUUCAACUAUUUGUAUAUUUAUGUUUUAUUGGAUAUUUAAAAUUAUAGAUGUAUCCAUAGCUGGAAAGUUUUUAUAGCUAAUUAUAUAGAUAUUGUUAUGGCCAAUCUCCUGUUGCACCCGCCGC